ACCCUGGUUGUGUUUCUGUGUCAGUAGACACCACAUCUCUUGGGGCCUCAUGAAAUCAGAGGGCCAUAUCUAACCCAGGUACCAUCACAUCUCACCAUCUCUCAGCCCCUUUGAGAGAUGGGCUUCCUGGGCACUGAUUAGUGGUGGAAGAAUUUUUUUUUUUUUUUUGAAGUACACAUUGUCCUGAUCAGGAUUUGUUCCAAUCCUAAGCUUGAUGCAUUCACCUGCUAAAGCAUUUUUAUGUACCCACACACAUGCACACUCACCCACAUACAUCUGCAAACGUGUGCACAUACAGUUUACCCUUCAGAAAGGAAAUGUCUCUGUUUUUUCCAAAUGAAAAAACUUGGGCGAUUAUGACAUUACUGUCUGUUCUUAUUUAUUGUUAUUAGAUUAAAAGUAUUUUUAAAACUUAUAAUACCAAAAAUAUGUAUAUAUCUG
rnacentral:lncRNA from 1 species